AUUCGGCAUGAUAACUAGACGACGGUCUCAACAAUCCAACGACUCCAGUCUUUUAAGUUGCCGAUAGAUCAACCUGCGAAGAUCUUACACGUUCUCUGAAUCUCUCUAUGUGGUCUUCGUUUAAUCUCUCGCAACAACU
rnacentral:snoRNA from 1 species